GCCCGCUAACGGCCCCAGACCCGGGAGAAAGCCUGGGGCCCCGCGCCUGUGCACCGAGCGGUGAUUGACGCGCCCUCCGCGCGCAGCGGGGCCGCGGCGCCCGACUGCCCGCCUGGGGCUGCCGAGGAGCGUGUUCAUUCCACGCGGGAUGAAAAGAGGUUCAUUUUCAAAUGUAACUGCGCCUUUGAAGAAGGGACUGUGUCCAUUACGGUGUUCACAUAACCCAGGAGCAGUCCAGGCCGCAACAUCAGGACUCGGCAGAAAGGGGGUUCUUAGGGAGAAGGCUAAGCCGAGGUGAAUUGUAGGGAAAGUCGGGCAGUUGGUGCAGUUGUGGGGUUAGGAACCUGCUAGAUCCCUUUUACACCGCUAGCACUGCAACCUGGGGAACAGCUCACUGAAGCUGGCGCGCUCCGUGUGCGUGUUUGUGCACACUGCACGUGCCUGUGUGUGUGGUAAAUGUGCGUGCGUUUGCGAGUGCAUCCGUGUUCGCGAGUGUGCACGUGUAUCUUUGUGCCAGUAAGUGUGCAUGUGUUUACACGCGUGCGUAUCUGCGAGCAGGUGUCUGUGUGUGCGUGCGCGCUCGCCCGGGCUGUGGGGAGCGCGUUCCGAGACCGAGCGGGGCUGUCAGGGCCGUCCCUACUCCUCUGCAGCCCCUUCCCACUCCCAGAGAGCUAGAACGCGGCCGCGGGUGCAGCUAGAGCCUUCCUGGGACGUGCUGGCUCCGCGCCGUGGAGAUGCAGGUAAAGGCCUAUCCUGGAGACGUGGCUGUGGAAUAGUCACGUUUCCACACCUUUCCAGGACAACUGCCCAGGGAGACCUCGGGCGGCGGGUGGGGCGAGGCCCCAGACUAGCUGGCCCGGCAUCCUCCGCCUAUCCCUUUAACCCCGCCGCUGGGCGGGAGCAAGUGAACUGGGCUCCGGGUGGCACCCGGGCGCUAUGGCAGCCUUCGCUGAGUCACUCGUAUUUCGACGCUGCCUCUGGGCCGCGGCCAGGAGCCAGGCGCCUUGGCCAGGCUGUCCACUUUGCCUCCCUGCUCCUCCUCCUUUUCUUCCUGCGCAGCCCCCUCCCCGUUAUCUGCCCACGAGUAGUAGGGGGUACUUCCCCUACCCCUGGCGCCCCCCUUCCCUAAGCGCGCACCGCUCCAACCACUUGAAUCCUGGGGCAGGAAGUAGGACACCUCCACCCCGGCAGGCGGGCUUGGUGCAGGACGCAGGAGCCAGUGGCCCAUCCCCCUCCGACUGUCCAGUGCUGCUGCCGCCUGCUCCCUCCACCCGAGGAGGCUCAGUGCCACCCACUGCUCUGUCCCUUGCUUGCGCUGGGUGCCUGACCCUAUCCAGCUGGAAUCUCCGUAUCCUCUCUUUACUUUCCGACUGCCCAAGGCACUUUCUCUGCCCCUCUCGCUCUGCAGGUCGAAGUGGGGGAAGAGGAGGAGGAAUUCUUUCCCCGCCUAACAUUUCAAGGGACACAACUCACUCCAAAUCUCUUCCUUUUCCAAGCCGCCUCCCAAGUGCUCCCCGUGCCCUCACCUCCUGAUCCCAAACCGAGAGAAGGGCCUCUCCAACCUCAAGCCCUCUUCCUGUCCCUUCGCUUUCCUCCUCCUCCCCUCUUCUCUCUUUUUGGCUGCCACUGGACGUCCCGGGUUGACGGUGGCGUCGGCGACAGCCUAAGCCACAGCAGCUCUUGCAGCGCCAGCUCCAGAGUACCCAGCCUGCUUCUCCAGCCCUGUCCCCUGAUCUCCGGAAAGGAGCUGAGCAGAAUCGGGCAGUUGAGGCCAAGUAGCUGCAGCGGCGUUACACGCGGCGGCGGCGGGAGGCUGGAUGAGCGCUGAGCUCAGGCUGCGUUGAGCUCAGGCGACGAAGGCGGCCCGGCAGCGGUCAGCUCCAGCCAGGGGACCACCUACAACCCGGCGCCUCAGAAGAGAAGACUCAGCCAAUGCGGGAAGCAGCAGCAAGUCUGCGUUUGAGAAGCUGCUGCUGCUCAAUCCUGAAAUAGAAGCAGAACAAAUCUUAAUGUCCCCCCAAUUGAUUUAUGAAGCUCCAGACAAACAG